GGCAGCUCAAGUUGGUGCCUGCUGGCAGGGAUCAAAGAAGUUCAGCUUGAUGAAGCAGAGCCAGAUUGGAAAGGUAGGAAAACAAAGGAACAGCAUCCAGCUGUGGCAAAAGAGAACAUUAACUGUAACUUGAAGACUGAAUCCAAGGUGAGCAUAAGAAGAAAGCUGCUGGCGUCUGUAGCAACAUGGCUAUGAAGUCCAGCCUCAUCGAAGUCCAGAUGGCCUCCGUUUCCAGGACUAUGUUUCUUUAAUACUGUCUGCCUGGAGUCUCCUCUCCCUUCAAUCCCCUUCUCACUCCUACCUUGUCUUGACAUCAAUCCUUACAUGUUUUCUGGCUCCUGACAACCUGCUUCAGAGAGUCUAGUCCUGUUUCUGGCAGUGCUGCCUGGGAUCUCUGUCCAACGCAGAAACCAACACAACAACACUUGGGAAAUUCCUAAAUUAAUAAUAAAAAAACUUAGCCUUUUUUUUUUGGAAAAUUAGAUGAACAUUAAACAGCACAAGCUUCAGAGAAAAACAGAUUUAACUUAAAUUCCUC
rnacentral:lncRNA from 1 species